AGUCUCUGGAUAUAGACCCGAAACCGGGUGAUCUAGCCAUGGGCAGGUUGAAGGUUGAGUAACAUCAACUGGAGGACCGAACCGACUAAUGUUGAAAAAUUAGCGGAUGACUUGUGGCUAGGGGUGAAAGGCCAAUCAAACUCGGAGAUAGCUGGUUCUCCCCGAAAGCUAUUUAGGUAGCGCCUCGGACGAAUACUACUGGGGGUAGAGCACUGUUAAGGCUAGGGGGUCAUCCCGACUUACCAACCCUUUGCAAACUCCGAAUACCAGUAAGUACUAUCCGGGAGACACACGGCGGGUGCUAACGUCCGUCGUGGAGAGGGAAACAACCCAGACCGCCAGCUAAGGUCCCAAAUUACUACUAAGUGGGAAACGAUGUGGGAAGGCUCAGACAGCCAGGAUGUUGGCUUAGAAGCAGCCAUCAUUUAAAGAAAGCGUAAUAGCUCACUGGUCGAGUCGGCCUGCGCGGAAGAUGUAACGGGGCUAAGUAGUAAACCGAAGCUGCGGCAAUACAGUUUACUGUAUUGGGUAGGGGAGCGUUCUGUAAGCCGUUGAAGGUGUGUUGUAAAGCAUGCUGGAGGUAUCAGAAGUGCGAAUGCUGACAUGAGUAACGAUAAGGGGGGUGAAAAACCUCCCCGCCGGAAGACCAAGGGUUCCUGUCCAACGUUAAUCGGGGCAGGGUAAGUCGACCCCUAAGGCGAGGCUGAAAAGCGUAGUCGAUGGGAAACGGGUUAAUAUUCCCGUACUGCUUAUAAUUGCGAUGGGGGGACGGAGAAGGCUAGGUGGGCCAGGCGACGGUUGUCCUGGUUCAAGUGCGUAGGCUAAGAGACUAGGUAAAUCCGGUUUCUUGUUAGGCUGAGACACGACGUCGAGCUGCUACGGCAGUGAAGUCAUUGAUGCCCUGCUUCCAGGAAAAGCCUCUAAGCUUCAGAUUAUAAGCAAUCGUACCCCAAACCGACACAGGUGGUCGGGUAGAGAAUACCAAGGCGCUUGAGAGAACUCGGGUGAAGGAACUAGGCAAAAUGGUACCGUAACUUCGGGAGAAGGUACGCUCUUAUUGGUGAAGUCCCU
rnacentral:rRNA from 1 species